AUUGAACGCUGGCGGCAGGCCUAACACAUGCAAGUCGAGCGGAGAGGCGGACGGGUGAGUAAUGCCUGGGAAUCUGCCUGGUAGUGGGGGAUAACGACCGGAAACGGGCGCUAAUACCGCAUACUCACAGAUGAGCCUAGGUCGGAUUGGCUAGUUGGUGGGGUAAAGGCCUACCAAGGCGACGAUCCGUAACUGGUCUGAGAGGAUGAUCAGUCACACUUGAACUGCGACAGGGUGCAGACUCCGACGGGAGGCAGCAGUGGGGAAUAUUGGACAAUGGGCGAAAGCCUGAUCCAGCCAUGCCGCGGUUGUGAAGAAGGUCUUCGGAUUGUAAAGCACUUUAAGUUGGGAGGCGUUACCAACAGAAUAAGCACCGGCUAACUUCGUGCCAGCCGCCGCGGUAAUAC
rnacentral:rRNA from 1 species